CCCACUGUCCCUGUCUACUAUC
rnacentral:sRNA from 1 species